rnacentral:tRNA from 1 species
GGGGAUAUAGCUCAGUUGGGAGAGCGUUUGAAUGGCAUUCAAAAGGUCGUCGGUUCGAUCCCGAUUAUCUCCA